AUGCAUUGCACAAUUCUUAUUAGCCAUGCCAAUAUCUCAGCGAUGAGAUGAUCAAGUUGGUCGCAAGCAAAUCUUGACCUGCUUUUCUUGGGAUGCUGGGUCCAAAAUGAGAUGGGGUGCUAUACAGUCUUGCUCUGUAUUUUAUGGGUAAAAGAUCAUCCAUUAACUGCAUGUUCAUCAUCAACUUGUGUUUUGCUUUAAACUUAUCCACAGACUUCUGGUGCUCUAAUUUCUAGAGAGGUCAUGGACUUCCGCUCAAGUAGAGGCCACCACUUCUUUGUUGGAUAUUGAGCCAAUGUAACCUGAGGCAUGCAUCUCAUUCCAAGAUCUCAUUACUUGAGAUCACAACUGUUGGUGUUUGACUUUAUUACAACAGAUGAGCAUCCUGUCACCUUCCCAAGUAUAUAUAAACUGUCAUUUCUAACUACUAUUCCAGUCCAGUCGCGUAACCUAAUAAAGAGAAGCAAUGUCAACUGCAUGCAGGUGAAGGUGAAUUUUAUAGGCUUUCACUGGUGAGAAAUAGUUGUUGCAAACUAUUUGUUGGAUCAGAAACAAUCUCAAGACUGUACGACAGUGCAGUGAAAUCUGAUGCCAGAACUUUUAUUUUCCAAAUUUAUCAUUGUAAUUUAUAUUUGCUAAAAUCUCCGUAGCAUAUGACUCUGCAACGUUCAAUUUCAAGU